GGAAGUAAAAAUCGUAACAAGGUUUCCGUAGGUGAACCUGCGGAAGGAUCAUUGACGAGCCCAUGGCGACCACCGCGGACGCGUUUUCAACCGAUGGGGGCGGGGAUCGCCGCGCGCGGCGCCCCUGGCCACCAAGGCGCCGAGCCUCGCACGAGGCGCGGCCAACCUAACCCAAGGCGCAGCGCGCGCCAAGGAACGAGUAUGAACGGGUGCGCCGUCCGCCUCCUCGGGCGCGCGACGGCGCUCCCUGCUAGCGACGCGCACAGCGUUGAUGCACGAACGACUCUCGGCAACGGAUAUCUCGGCCACCGCAUCGAUGAAGAACGUAGCGAAAUGCGAUACUUGGUGUGAAUUGCAGAGUCCCGUGAACCAUCGAGUCUUUGAACGCAAGUUGCGCCCGAAGCGGCUUCGCCGAGGGCACGCCUGCCUGGGCGUCACGCUUCGCGCCGCCCCCUCCCCCGCGUCUCCAUCGCGGCGGGGGGCGGAGUCUGGCCUUCCGUGCGCCCGAUGGAGCGCGGUCGUCCGAAAUGCUGUCUUGUCGUCGCUUGGCGCCACGAGCAUUGGUGGUUGAGUCGCGGCUUCGCGUGCCGUGGCGCGCUUCGCGGCGACCGGCAGACGCGGGCACCCCCGGGGUGGCGACCUGGUCGUCCCCGACCGCGACCCCAGGUCAGGCGGGAGCACCCGCUGAGUUUAAGCAUAUCAAUAA
rnacentral:rRNA from 1 species